rnacentral:rRNA from 1 species
AGCAGCCGCGGUAAUUCCAGCUCCAAUAGCGUAUAUUAAAGUUGUUGCAGUUAAAAAGCUCGUAGUUGAAUUUCGGGAUCAAUAUGUCGGUCGUGCCUCGGUAUGUACUGGUGUUACUGGUUCCUACCUUCUGACGAACCGUCAUGUCAUUAAUUUGGUGUGGCGGGGAAUCAGGACUGUUACUUUGAAAAAAUUAGAGUGUUUAAAGCAGGCUCGCGCUUGAAUACAUUAGCAUGGAAUAAUGAAAUAGGACGUUCGAUCCUAUUUUGUUGGUUUCUAGGAUUGACGUAAUGAUUAAUAGGGAUAGUUGGGGGCAUUAGUAUUCAAUUGUCAGAGGUGAAAUUCUUGGAUUUAUUGAAGACUAACUACUGCGAAAGCAUUUGCCAAGGAUGUUUUCAUUAAUCAAGAACGAAAGUUAGGGGAUCGAAGACGAUCAGAUACCGUCGUAGU